CAGAUUAUACUCUAAGAGAGAUUAUUAUUUACAAUAAUAAAUUAAUCGUGCAAUUCGAUUUAAUCUGA
rnacentral:tRNA from 1 species